rnacentral:miRNA from 1 species
UGGCACCAAAGUCACCACCCG